GUCUGGGGCCCGGGGCCCAGAUACAGAAGGCUAGCCAGUGCAGCCAGCCCCGGGGCCAAGCCGCGCGCGAGUUCGAGUCAUCUAUACCAGAGACAGGCAGCAAGGCACCUACGGGCAGCCAGUUCCGACAGCACCAGAGUGUUUUACCCUUGGCUGGAUUCUCCCUCCAUGAAGAUGUCCCAGUCUUCCUCAGCAGAUGAAGGAACCACGUUUGAACACCUCUGGAGUACUCUGGAGCCAGACAGCACAUACUUUGAUCUCCCCCAGUCUAGCCAAGGAGGCAGUGAGGUGGUGGCUGGUGGGACUGUGGUCAGCAUGGAU
rnacentral:lncRNA from 1 species